CAAAUUAUACGCAAUGAUAAUCAUUUCUACCCACCGGAACGUCGCCGGCGUCGGCGUCAUCUCCAUUCUCCACCAUCGUACCUCAGACCAGCUCGGAUUCCGGCCUCCACUUCUUUCUCCACCGUGCUCGGUCGCUAUCAUAUCGUCGUCGACGGCUUGAUCCACCGGCCGCAGCUAAUUAGGAUCAAGAAAAGUAGAGCAUAUAUUCAUCAAGGCCGCCUAGAAGUACAAUGGCGUCCAAGAAUAAGAAGUGAAAUAGAGCUGUCCAGAACAUGAUCGAUUUUCUUCGUUCUUAGUCCGUCAACCCUGCCAGAAUUGAAGCUUCAGACACCAGAAGAAGAUCGAGUGAUUAUAAUUAAUGCAGCAGAUAAGUGACUAAUAUAUACUGUAUUAUAUUGUUGAAUUCGUCCCACACUGCGUGGCUUUUUACUUCUAAGAGAUUUUUAUUUAUUUAUUUAUUUUUUUGCUUCGAGAUUUUGAUAUCACAAACCCGGCCACUUUGACUUUUGAGUUUUUGAAGACAAUGACAAGUUUAUUUUCAAGAUGGCUAGCCAGUUCACUUGCUGGGUGAUAUGGCCAAAAAUAUA